CCUACGGGAUGCAGCAGUGAGGAAUAUUGGUCAAUGGACGAGAGUCUGAACCAGCCAAGUAGCGUGAAGGAUGACUGCCCUAUGGGUUGUAAACUUCUUUUAUAUGGGAAUAAAAUGUUCCACGUGUGGGAUUUUGUAUGUACCAUAUGAAUAAGGAUCGGCUAACUCCGUGCCAGCAGCCGCGGUAAGACGGAGGAUCCGAGCUUUAUCCGGAUUUAUUGGGUUUAAAGGGAUCGUAUGUGGUUUGUUAAGUCAGUUGUGAAAGUUUGCGGCUCAACCGUAAAAUUGCAGUUGAAACUGGCAGUCUUGAGUACAGUAGAGGUGGGCGGAAUUCGUGGUGUAGCGGUGAAAUGCUUAGAUAUCACGAAGAACUCCGAUUGCGAAGGCAGUUCACUGGACUGCAACUGACACUGAGGCUCGAAAGUGUGGGUAUCAAACAGGAUUAGAUACCCGUGUAGUC
rnacentral:rRNA from 1 species